rnacentral:rRNA from 1 species
CCUACGGGGGGCUGCAGUGGGGAAUAUUGGACAAUGGGGGGAACCCUGAUCCAGCCAUGCCGCGUGUGUGAAGAAGGCCCUCGGGUUGUAAAGCACUUUCAGUGAGGAAGAACGCCUGGUGGUUAAUACCCCAUCAGGAAAGACAUCACUCACAGAAGAAGCACCGGCUAACUCCGUGCCAGCAGCCGCGGUAAUACGGAGGGUGCGAGCGUUAAUCGGAAUUACUGGGCGUAAAGCGCGCGUAGGUGGCUUGAUAAGCCGGUUGUGAAAGCCCCGGGCUCAACCUGGGAACGGCAUCCGGAACUGUCAAGCUAGAGUGCAGGAGAGGAAGGUAGAAUUCCCGGUGUAGCGGUGAAAUGCGUAGAGAUCGGGAGGAAUACCAGUGGCGAAGGCGGCCUUCUGGACUGACACUGACACUGAGGUGCGAAAGCGUGGGUAGCAAACAGGAUUAGAUACCCGAGUAGUC